UCCCAGAUCAAUUGCUCUCCAUUUUGUUUAUAUUGUAUUCCAAACUCCACCACCAACUGAAUGCCUCACCUUGCAAUACAUAUGAUGUAUACAAGAUCUUUUCACCAUCAUGGCAUCUCUUAAUAGUAAAUGCUUUUUCUAUUUUCAUAAACCAACUCUCAGCUUCAACAUAUUCUGUAGUUCUCUUAAAAGCUGGUGGAUGUAACUUUUUAAAUUCUAUAAUAUUACUUUAUUGCUUCUAUUGUUCUCUAUGUCUUUGUAGUAGUGGUAUUUAUUAUUUCACUUAAGAGGCAUUUGGUAUGAGGUGAUUCACUCAAAAUCAAAGAUAAUAUGGAUGAAGGUGAUGAGAUCAUUAUGUUUGGCUACACCAUGAUAAUCCUUUGUUGUAGUAAUUUUAAAUCAUCCUCACUCCUCAAAUCAUCCCCCAAAUUAGUAAUGAGAUAUCCAUCCUCGAGAUUGAAAAUCCAAGAUUACCCCUAAGAAGUGAUCUUGGACUGAAAUAUAGUGAUAAAAAUAUCCCUUAGUUUAGUAAAAAAAUUGAUAUAUCGAUAUACCAUUAAUAUAUUAUAUCAAUAUUAUAUAUAUAAUAUUAUGUUAUAUUUGAUAUUAUAUAUUAUAUUUAUCAUACAUGUUAUAUGAUUAUAUAUUAUUGUCAGCUUA
rnacentral:lncRNA from 1 species